UUUGACUCCGCCCCACCGGUCAAUGACGCUGCAUCAGAACUAGAUGCGGCCAUAGCUUGUAUUACCGGGGAUGUCACUUUCAAGACACCUAUGAGAUCUGCCUGUGUUAAACUAUUGACACAUCCUGUUGUAUACAGUCAGGACAUCGGUGCACAGCUAUCAGAGGCUGUAAAGAUCCCUUUGAGACAUGUGGGUGGUAAAAUAUUGACACAUCCUGUAGCAUACCGUCAGGACAUUGGUGCACAGCUAUCAGAUAUGUGUUUUCUCAGAGGAUUUUCAGUGCAGACCAGUCCUAGCAUCAGCCAUCCCCUCAUCAGAUGAUGAACCCCUGAGCUGUGCUCAGUUGUAUACACCCUCAUCAC